rnacentral:lncRNA from 1 species
UCCCUGGAUCCUGGCUCCAGGGGUGAAAAAGCUGGGAUCAGGGAGAUUCCCACCUUCCUGGAUGUUUGGGAUGAGCUGGGAAGGAGCCACUGGGAGCAGGAACAUUCCCACUUUCCUGGAUGUUUGGGAUGAGCUGGGAAGAGAAGAUGGAUCCCGGAGCAUCCCUGGAUCCCUGGCUCCAGGGGUGUAAACACUGGGAAGAGGGAUCCUGGAGCAUCCCUGGAUCCUGGCUCCAGGGGUGAAAAAGCUGGGAUCAGGGAGAUUCCUACCUUCCUGGAUGUUUGGGAUGAGCUGUGAAGGAGCCACUGGAAGCUGAAACAUUCCCACCUUCCCGGAUGUUUGGGAUGGGAUGGGAAGGGGCCACUGGGAGCAGGAACAUUCCCACUUUCCUGGAUGUUUGGGAUGGGAAUGCUGAGGAUGCUCCAGGUGGGGUUGGUGCAAACCCUGGGAAGAGGGAAAUUCCCAAUUCCUGGAUGUUUGGGAUGGGAUGGGAAGGAGCCACUGGGAUCAGGGACAUUCCCAAUUCCUGGAUGUUUGGGAUGGGAUGGGAAGGGGCCACUGGAAGCCGGAACAUUCCCAAUUCCUGGAUAUUUGGGAUGGGAUGGGAAGGAGCCACUGGAAGCCGGAACAUUCCCACCUUCCCGGCCGUGUCAUUCCCAACCAUAACCUGGAAUAUUCCCCUUCCUGGAUCCAGCGGGACGAGGAAUCCCCGGGAUCCCAUUCCCGGGUUAUCCCAUCCCUUGGGAGCGACACAACCCCCCCCGGGAAUGUUCAUUAUCCCGGGAAAAGCUGCUCCGGGAGCGUCGUUCCCGCUUUUCCCGAGCCGGGAUCGGGCUCCCGUCCCUCUUGGAAUGUGGAUUUCCCGCCGAUAUUCGGGAAUUUUUUCCCUCCUGGGCUGCUUUUUCCCCUCAAAAUCAUGGAUUAAUCCCGGAUUUUUUGGGGGAAUGGGAUCCUUUCACUCUUCCCUUGUUUUCUGGGAAGGAGGAAUAACUGGGAAGAGCUUUUUCCCUCCUCUAGUUCAGGAAUAUCCCGAGGGAAUUGUCGCUUCCCAAAGGUUCAGAUCGACACAAAUCCUGUUUUUCCUCUCAAAAUCAUGGAUUAAUCCCGGAUUUUUUGGGGGAAUGGGAUCCUUUCGCUCUUCCUUCUUUUUCUGGGAAGGAGGAAUAACUGGGAAGAGCUUUUUCCCUCCUCUAGUUCGGGAAUAUCCCGAGGGAAUUGUCGCUUCCCAGAUUUUAACAUCGACACGAAUCCCGUUUUCCCUUGGAAUUAACUCCCGUUUUCCCUCUCCCAGCUGGAUAAAAACACGGAUUGGGAUCCGCCAGGGCUUGGAAUUCCGGCCGGUGACCCCGCUGGGAUCUCCUUCCCGCCCAAUUCCCUGGAAAACUUCCCCCCCUUCGUCCUUAAUUCCGGCUCCGGAAUUCCCUUUUCCGUUCCCCGUUUUCCCCCGGAGGAAGGCGGAUUAUCCCGUUUUCCAGGUGCUGCAAUUCCCGGAAUCCCGAGAUUUCCCGGCCUUGGGAAUGGUUUGGAGGCUUCUCCCGUUCCCGCUGCUUCUCCUGGGAAUUUGGGGGGGGGGGUUUUCCUGGGAAUUUGGGGGGUUUUUCCUGCCUUUUUCCCGGAUCCGGGCGGACGUUUGGAGCUGAUCCCGCACUUUUCGCUUCCCGGGAUUCCCGAGGGUGGGGGUGGAUUUUCCUCCAUUAAAUCCCGCUGGGAAUAACGGGAGAGCCCCGG